rnacentral:rRNA from 1 species
UACGAAGGGGGCUAGCGUUGCUCGGAAUCACUGGGCGUAAAGCGCACGUAGGCGGAUUGCUAAGUCAGGGGUGAAAUCCUGGAGCUCAACUCCAGAACUGCCUUUGAUACUGGCGACCUUGAGUCCGGGAGAGGUGAGUGGAACUGCGAGUGUAGAGGUGAAAUUCGUAGAUAUUCGCAAGAACACCGGUGGCGAAGGCGGCGACCUGGACCGACAUUGACGCUGAGGCGCGAAAGCGUGGGGAGCAAACAGG